UGGGGAAUUUUGGACAAUGGGGGCAACCCUGAUCCAGCCAUGCCGCGUGAGUGAAGAAGGCCUUCGGGUUGUAAAGCUCUUUCGGACGGGACGAAAUGGUUAGCGUGAAUAACGCUGACUGAUGACGGUACCGUAAUAAGAAGCACCGGCUAACUACGUGCCAGCAGCCGCGGUAAUACGUAGGGUGCGAGCGUUAAUCGGAAUUACUGGGCGUAAAGCGUGCGCAGGCGGUUCGCCAAGUCAGGUGUGAAAUCCCCGGGCUUAACCUGGGAAUUGCGCUUGAAACUAGCGGGCUUGAGUGUGGCAGAGGGGGGUGGAAGUUCCACGUGUAGCAGUGAAAUGCGUAGAGAUGUGGAGGAACACCGAUGGCGAAGGCAGCCCCCUGGGUCAACACUGACGCUCAUGCACGAAAGCGUGGGGAGCAAACAGGAUUAGAUACCCCAGUAGUCCCUGAGCGGGCUGGCAAGGCGCAU
rnacentral:rRNA from 1 species